rnacentral:rRNA from 1 species
GGCGUGCUUAACACAUGCAAGUCGAACGAGAAGAGAUGAGAAGCUUGCUUCUUAUCGAUUCGAGUGGCAAACGGGUUGAGUAACGCGUAAGCAACCUGCCUUCAGAUGGGGACAACAGCUGGAAACGGCUGCUAAUACCGAAUACGUUCUCUUUAUCGGCAUGGCAGAGGGAAGAAAGGGAGGCUCUUCGGAGCUUUCGCUGAAGGAGGGGCUUGCGUCUGAUUAGCUAGUUGGAGGGUAACGGCCACCAAGGCGACGAUCAGUAGCCGGUCUGAGAGGAUGAACGGCCACAUUGGGACUGAGACACGGCCCAGACUCCUACGGGAGGCAGCAGUGGGGAAUCUUCCGCAAUGGGCGAAAGCCUGACGGAGCAAUGCCGCGUGAGUGAUGAAGGGAUUCGUUCCGUAAAGCUCUUUUGUUUAUGACGAAUGUGCAGACUGUGAAUAAUGGUUUGUAAUGACGGUAGUAAACGAAUAAGCCACGGCUAACUACGUG